rnacentral:lncRNA from 1 species
UCAUUUUUCCCAGAUCCUCUUUUGUUGCCAGUUCAGAGAGUCCAGGUGGUUGAGUAUCAGAGUGUUCCAUCUCGUUUCCCUUUGGGGUUGCUGUAGGUGAUCUGGAACUCUGUUUUUGAGGCUUGUUUAUGUGUUUUCUCAUUUCCAUGGGGUGUGUGGGGGGGUGCUUCUGGCACCCACGUGGCUCACCUUCUCUGCCUUAGGAGCUUGGGAUGGCAGCGGGGGAGCUUCCUUCUGGGUUCUGGGACCAGCUCAGCUUCUCUGCCCUAGGAGCUUGGGAUGGUGGUGGGGGAACUUCCUUCUGGGUUCUGGGACCGGCUCACCUUCUCUGCCCUGGGAGCCUGGGAUGUCAGCGGGGGAGCUUCCUUCUGGGUGCUGGGACUGGCUGAGCUUUUCUGCCCUAGGAGCCUGGGAUGGUGGUGGGGAGCUUCCUUCCGGGUGCUGGGACUGGCUCACCUUCUCUGCCCUAGGAGCCUGGGAUGGCAGUGGGGGAGCUUCCUUCUGGGUGCUGGGACUGGCUGAGCUUUUCUGCCCUAGGAGCCUGGGAUGGUGGUGGGGAGCUUCCUUCCGGGUGCUGGGACCAGCUCACCUUCUCUCAAUAAUUUGAACUUUUAAACUGACCUUUGGGAGAAAAAUCCUAGGAACCUAAAAUGCAAAGUUGUAGAAGCAAACCAUAAUUGUUAGUCAUAACCUAGGCAAUUGCAACACUGUUGUAUAACCACAUGCCUUGGAAGUGAAUGAACAUAUGUGUGGCAGACAGCAAAUCUAGUUUUGCAUGAUUUAGGUCAGUAACAGUGAUGGUAUGGGAAGAGUGUUCUGUGCAUGCACAGCAAGUUAAUGCCUACUUUUACUCAUUCCUUCACAUCUUGUCCCAACAUAAUGGAGAGAGUUUAUUUACACAGAGCCCAGAGUGUACAUAUUCCACAUAGUAUAAUUUUCCCACUUGUGAUGGAUAGUAAAAGGAAUCUACCUUGAAGAGAUGCAUGGAAGAAGGUAUUUAAUUUAGGAGGAAAAAAAUAACACAUUGUUCCUUUAAGUUAGUGUAUGAAGAACUAGAUUUCUCUCUGGAGUCCUUUCCUAGUGUACAGUUGUAGAGCAAUAUCCUAAAAUGCCAAAACAUUCACGAAGAAAGAGAACUUUAAUUUAGGUGUGGUGGUGGGGGUGCCUCCUGUCUGUAAUCCCAGUGUCAGGUGAAGCUGAGGCAGGAGGAUUGAAAGUUUAAGCCUAGCCUGGGUAGCUUAGUGAAACCCUGUCUCAAAAUAGGAAAGGACUGGGGAUGUUGUUCAGUGUGAGGACCUUGGGUUCAAUCACCAGUUCCUCAAAAG